rnacentral:tRNA from 2 species
CAAGAAAUAGUUUAAUUAAAAUAUUAAUUUUGGAGAUUAAUGAUAAAGGUAUUUCUUUUUUCUUGA